GAGUAAUACAUCGGAACGUACCCUGUCGUGGGGGAUAACUAACCGAAAGGUUAGCUAAUACCGCAUACGACCUGAGGGUGAAAGCGGGGGAUCGCAAGACCUCGCGCGAUAGGAGCGGCCGAUGUCAGAUUAGCUAGUUGGUGAGGUAAAGGCUCACCAAGGCGACGAUCUGUAGCGGGUCUGAGAGGACGGCCCGCCACACUGGAACUGAGACACGGUCCAGACUCCUACGGGAGGCAGCAGUGGGGAAUUUUGGACAAUGGGCGCAAGCCUGAUCCAGCCAUUCCGCGUGAGUGAAGAAGGCCUUCGGGUUGUAAAGCUCUUUCGGCAGGAACGAAACGCUCUGGGCUAAUACCCCGGGGUAAUGACGGUACCUG
rnacentral:rRNA from 1 species